GUCGAGCGCACCUUCGGGUGAGCGGCGGACGGGCUAGUAACGCGUGGGAACGUACCCUUUUCUACGGAAUAGCCUUUGGAAACGAAGAGUAAUACCGUAUACGCCCUUUGGGGGAAAGAUUUAUCGGAGAAGGAUCGGCCCGCGUUAGAUUAGAUAGUUGGUGGGGUAACGGCCUACCAAGUCUACGAUCUAUAGCUGGUUUUAGAGGAUGAUCAGCAACACUGGGACUGAGACACGGCCCAAACUCCUACGGGAGGCAGCAGUGGGGAAUCUUAGACAAUGGGCGCAAGCCUGAUCUAGCCAUGCCGCGUGAGUGAUGAAGGCCUUAGGGUCGUAAAGCUCUUUCGCCUGUGAUGAUAAUGACAGUAGCAGGUAAAGAAACCCCGGCUAACUCCGUGCCAGCAGCCGCGGUAAUACGGAGGGGGUUAGCGUUGUUCGGAAUUACUGGGCGUAAAGCGCACGUAGGCGGAUUGGAAAGUUGGGGGUGAAAUCCCGGGGCUCAACCCCGGAACUGCCUCCAAAACUAUCAGGUCUAGAGUUCGAGAGAGGUGAGUGGAAUUCCAAGUGUAGAGGUGAAAUUCGUAGAUAUUUGGAGGAACACCAGUGGCGAAGGCGGCUCACUGGCUCGAUACUGACGCUGAGGUGCGAAAGUGUGGGGAGCAAACAGGAUUAGAUACCCUGGUAGUCCACACCGUAAACGAUGAAUGCCAGUCGUCGGGCAGUAUACUGUUCGGUGACGCACCUAACGGAUUAAGCAUUCCGCCUGCGGAGUACGGUCGCAAGAUUAAAACUCCAAGGAAUUGAC
rnacentral:rRNA from 1 species